ensembl:lncRNA
UCCCAUCUAUGGGGCAGAGCCCCCAGUGCCAUCUAUGGGGCAGAUCUAUGGGGCAGAGCCAUACAUGUGCCAUCUAUGGGACGGAUCUAUGGGGCAGAUCUAUGGGGCCGAUCUAUAGGGCAGAGCCCCCCCCAGUUCCACCUAUGGGGCAGAGUCAUCCCAGUGCCAUCUCUCGCGCUGAUCUAUGGGGCAGAUCUAUGGGGCAGAGCCAUACCUGUGCCAUCCAUGGGACGGAUCUAUGGGGCAGAUCUAUGGGGCUGAUCUAUAGGGCAGAGCCCCCCCCAGUUCCACCUAUGGGGCAGAGCCAUACCUGUGCUAUCUCUCGUGCUGAUCUAUGGGGCAGAUCUAUGGGGCAGCCCCUCCCAGUGCCCCCCCAUUCCCCCCCCGGUUCCCAUCUAUGGGGCGGCGCUGUGGGGCCCCACGGGGUGGGCGGAAGUUCCCCCCCCCCCCCCCCCCCCCGCCCCACAACAGCUGUGGGGCAGCGCAGGUGGAGGAGCCCCAAAUAGCAGCAAAGAAUCCGUGGGGCGGAAAUGGGGGGGGGGGGGGAUGGAAGGGGACACCUAUGGGGCAUUCCAGCCCCACACAUCGGCUCCAGCCCCAUAGAUCGGCCCCAUAGCGGGUCCCGGCCCCAUAGAUUGGCCCCACAGUGGAUCCCAGCCCCAUAGAUUGGCCCCAUAGUGGCUCCUGGCCCCAUAGACUGGCCCCAUAGAUGGGUCCCAUAGACUGUCCUGGCCCCAUAGAUUGGCUCCAGCCCCAUAGAUCAGCCCCAUAGACAUUUUCAGCCCCAUAGAUCAGCCCCAUAGCGGGUCCUGGCCCCAUAGAUUGGCUCCAGCCCCAUAGAUUGGCCCCAUUGCGGGUCCUGGCCCCAUAGAUUGGCUCCUGCCCCAUAGGUUGGCUCCAGCCCCAUAGAUCAGGCUACAGGGCAAAGCUAUGGGGCAGAGCUAUGGGGCACUAUGGGGCAGAUAUGGCGCUACGCGGCGCUAUGGGGCAGCUAUGGGGCAGAAAUGUACGGCAAUGGGAACAGAUGGAGGAUGAAUGGGGGCUAUGGGGGGGUCUAUGGGGUUAUGGGGUGGCUAUAGGGCAGCUAUGGGGCAGGGCUGUGGGGCGCUAUGGGGCAGAGAUGUGUGGCAGUGGGGAGGGAUGGAGGAUGAAUGGGGUCUAUGGGGGGUCGAUGGGGUUAUGGGGCACUAUGAGGCACUAUGGGGCCGCUAUAGGGCAUCUAUGGGGCAGAUCUAUGGGGCGCUAUGGGGCAGCUAUGGGAAAGAGGGAAGGCAAUGGGAACAGAUGGAGGAUGAAUGGGGUUAUGGGGGGGCUAUGGGGCGGCUAUGGGAUUAUGGGGCACUAUAGGGUCUCUAUAGGGCAUCUAUGGGGCAGAGUUAUGGGGCUCUAUGGGGCUCUAUGGGGCAGAGAUGGUGUUAUGGGGUGCAGAGAUGGAAGGCAAUGGGAAUGGAUGGAGGAUGAAUGGGGGCUAUGGGGUUAUGGGGCGCUAUGGGGAGCUAUGGGGUGGCUAUGGGGCAUCUAUGGGGCAGAGCUAUGGGGCUCUAUGGGGCUCUAUGGGGCAGAAAUGGUGUUAUGGGGUGCAGAGAUGGAGGGCAAUGGGAAUGGAUGGAGGAUGAAUGGGGGCUGUGGGGUUAUGGGGCGCUAUGGGGCUCUAUGGGGUGGCUAUGGGGCAUCUAUGGGGCAGAGCUAUGGGGCUCUAUGGGGCUCUGUAGGGCUCUAUGGGGCAGAGAUGGAAGGCAAUGGGAAUGGAUGGAGGAUGAAUGGGGUCUAUAGGGGGCUUACGGGGCGCUAUGGGGUGGCUAUGGGGCAUCUAUGGGGCAGAGCUAUGGGGCGCUAUGGGGCUCUAUGGGGCUUUAUGGGGCAGAUAUGGGGCUCUAUGGGGCAGAGACGUGAGCAGAUGUGAGGCAGUGGGAAUGGAUGGAGGAUGAAUGGGGGCUAUGGGGUUAUGGGCCGCUAUGGGGCGCUAUAGGGCCGCUAUAGGGCAUCUAUGGGGCAGAGCUAUGGGGCACUAUGGGGCUCUAUAGGUUGGCUAUGGGGCAGCUAUGGGGCAGGGAUGUAAGGCAAUGGGAAUGGAUGAAGGAUGAAUGGGGGCUAUGGGGCGCUAUAGGGCGGCUAUGGGGCAUCUAUGGGGCAGAGCUAUGGGGCGCUAUGGGGCUCUAUGGGGCAGAUAUGGGGCUCUAUGGGGCAGAGACGUGGGCAGAUAUGAGGCAAUGGAAAUGGAUGGAGGAUGAAUGGGGGCUAUGGGGUUAUGGGGCGCUAUGGGGCGCUAUAGGGCGGCUAUGGGGCAUCUAUGGGACGGAUCUAUGGGGCAGAGCUAUGGGGCAGAGCUAUGGGUCUCUCUGGGGCUCUAUGGGGCAGGGAUGUAAGGCAAUGGGAAUGGAUGGAGGAUGAAUGGGGGCUAUGGGCUUAUGGGGCGCUAUGGGGCGCUAUAGGGCGGCUAUGGGGCAGAGCUAUGGGGCGGAUCUAUGGGGCGCUAUGGGGCAGAUCUAUGGGGCUCUCUGGGGCUCUAUGGGGCAGGGAUGGAAGGCAAUGGGAAUGGAUGGAGGAUGAAUGGGGUCUUUGGGGUUAUGGGGCGCUAUGGGGCGCUAUAGGGCGGCUAUGGGGCACAGCUAUGGGGCGGAUCUAUGGGGCAGAGCUAUGGGGCUCUAUGGGGCUCUAUGGGGCAGGGAUGUAAGGCAAUGGGAAUGGAUGGAGGAUGAAUGGGGGCUAUGGGCUUAUGGGGCGCUAUGGGGCGCUAUAGGGCGGCUAUGGGGCAGAGCUAUGGGGCGGAUCUAUGGGGCGCUAUGGGGCAGAUCUAUGGGGCUCUCUGGGGCUCUAUGGGGCAGGGAUGGAAGGCAAUGGGAAUGGAUGGAGGAUGAAUGGGGGCUAUGGGGUUAUGGGGCGCUAUGGGGCGCUAUGGGGUGGCUAUGGGGCACCUAUGGGGCAGAUCUAUGGGGCUCUAUGGGGCUCUGUAGGGCUCUAUGGGGCAGAGAUGGAAGGCAAGGGGAAUGGAUGGAGGAUGAAUGGGGGCUAUGGGCUUAUGGGGCGCUAUGGGGCGGCUACGGGGCAUCUAUGGGGCAGAGCUAUGGGGCGCUAUGGGGCUCUAUGGGGCAGAUAUGGAGCUCUAUGGGGCAGAGAUGGAGGGCAAUGGGAAUGGAUGGAGGAUGAAUGGGGUCUAUGGGGUAAUGGGGCGCUAUGGGGCGCUAUGGGGCGGCUAUGGGGCAUCUAUGGGGCGGAUCUAUGGGGCCGCCCCGUCCUCACCUCCGUGGCUGCGCCUUUGGCCGCUGCG